rnacentral:rRNA from 1 species
UACGUAGGGUGCGAGCGUUGUCCGGAAUUAUUGGGCGUAAAGAGCUUGUAGGCGGUUUGUCGCGUCUGCUGUGAAAAUCCGGGGCUCAACCCCGGACUUGCAGUGGGUACGGGGCAGACUAGAGUGUGGUAGGGGGAGACUGGAAUUCCUGGUGUAGCGGUGAAAUGCGCAGAUAUCAGGAGGAACACCAGUAGCGAAGGCGGCACUCUGGGCCGGUACUGACGCUGAGGAGCGAAAAGCGUGGGGAGCAAACAGG